rnacentral:rRNA from 1 species
GACGAACGCUGGCGGUGUGCUUAACACAUGCAAGUCGAACGGAAAGGCCCUGCUUUUGUGGGCUGCUCGAGUGGCGAACGGGUGAGUAACACGUGAGUAACCUGCCCUUGACUUUGGGAUAACUUCAGGAAACUGGGGCUAAUACCGGAUAGGAUCUCCUGCUGCAUGGUGGGGGUUGGAAAGUUUCGGCUGUUGGGGAUGGACUCGCGGCUUAUCAGCUUGUUGGUGGGGUAGUGGCUUACCAAGGCUUUGACGGGUAGCCGGCCUGAGAGGGUGACCGGCCACAUUGGGACUGAGAUACGGCCCAGACGCCUACGGGAGGCAGCAGUGGGGAAUAUUGCACAAUGGGCGGAAGCCGGAUGCAGCAACGCCGCGUGCGGGAUGACGGCCUUCGGGUUGUAAACCGCUUUCGCCUGUGACGAAGCGUGAGUGACGGUAAUGGGUAAAGAAGCACCGGCUAACUACGUG